rnacentral:rRNA from 1 species
AGUGAACGCUGGCGGUAGGCCUAACACAUGCAAGUCGAACGGCAGCACAGUAAGAGCUUGCUCUUACGGGUGGCGAGUGGCGGACGGGUGAGGAAUACAUCGGAAUCUACUUUUUCGUGGGGGAUAACGUAGGGAAACUUACGCUAAUACCGCAUACGACCUACGGGUGAAAGCAGGGGAUCUUCGGACCUUGCGCGAUUGAAUGAGCCGAUGUCGGAUUAGUUAGUUGGCGGGGUAAAGGCCCACCAAGGCGACGAUCCGUAGCUGGUCUGAGAGGAUGAUCAGCCACACUGGAACUGAGACCGGGUCCAGGCUCCUAGGGGAGGCGGGAGUGGGGAAUAUUGGACAAUGGGCGCAAGCCUGAUCCAGCCAUACCGCGUGGGUGAAGAAGGCCUUCGGGUUGUAAAGCCCUUUUGUUGGGAAAGAAAAGCAGCAGGUGAAUACCCCGCUGUUCUGACGGUACCCAAAGAAUAAGCACCGGCUAACUUCGUG